rnacentral:rRNA from 1 species
AUUGAACGCUGGCGGCAGGCCUAAGACAUGCAAGUCGAGCGGAUGAAGGGAGCUUGCUCCUGGAUUCAGCGGCGGACGGGUGAGUAAUGCCUAGGAAUCUGCCUGGUAGUGGGGGAUAACGUCCGGAAACGGGCGCUAAUACCGCAUACGUCCUGAGGGAGAAAGUGGGGGAUCUUCGGACCUCACGCUAUCAGAUGAGCCUAGGUCGGAUUAGCUAGUUGGUGGGGUAAAGGCCUACCAAGGCGACGAUCCGUAACUGGUCUGAGAGGAUGAUCAGUCACACUGGAACUGAGACACGGUCCAGACUCCUACGGGAGGCAGCAGUGGGGAAUAUUGGACAAUGGGCGAAAGCCUGAUCCAGCCAUGCCGCGUGUGUGAAGAAGGUCUUCGGAUUGUAAAGCACUUUAAGUUGGGAGGAAGGGCAGUAAGUUAAUACCUUGCUGUUUUGACGUUACCAACAGAAUAAGCACCGGCUAACUUCGUG